rnacentral:rRNA from 1 species
AUACGGAGGAUGCGAGCGUUAUCCGGAUUUAUUGGGUUUAAAGGGAGCGUAGGUGGGAUAUUAAGUCAGCUGUGAAAGUUUGGGGCUCAACCUUAAAAUUGCAGUUGAUACUGGUUUCCUUGAGUACGGUACAGGUGGGCGGAAUUCGUGGUGUAGCGGUGAAAUGCUUAGAUAUCACGAAGAACUCCGAUCGCGAAGGCAGCUCACCGGGCCGGAACUGACACUGAUGCUCGAAAGUGCGGGUAUCAAACAGGAUUAGAUACCCUGGUAGUCCUCACAGUAAACGAUGAAUACUCGCUGUUUGCGAUACACGGUAAGCGGCCAAGCGAAAGCGUUAAGUAUUCCACCUGGGGAGUACGCCGGCAACGGUGAAACUCAAAGGAAUUGACGGGG